GAUGAACGCUGGCGGCGUGCCUAAUACAUGCAAGUCGAGCGAACGGACGAGAAGCUUGCUUCUCUGAUGUUAGCGGCGGACGGGUGAGUAACACGUGGAUAACCUACCUAUAAGACUGGGAUAACUUCGGGAAACCGGAGCUAAUACCGGAUAAUAUUUUGAACCGCAUGGUUCAAAAGUGAAAGACGGUCUUGCUGUCACUUAUAGAUGGAUCCGCGCUGCAUUAGCUAGUUGGUAAGGUAACGGCUUACCAAGGCAACGAUGCAUAGCCGACCUGAGAGGGUGAUCGGCCACACUGGAACUGAGACACGGUCCAGACGCCUACGAGAGGCAGCAGUAGGGAAUCUGCCGCAAUGGGCGAAAGCCUGACGGAGCAACGCCGCGUGAGUGAUGAAGGUCUUCGGAUCGUAAAACUCUGUUAUUAGGGAAGAACAUAUGUGUAAGUAACUGUGCACAGCUUGACGGUACCUAAUCAGAAAGCCACGGCUAACUACGUG
rnacentral:rRNA from 1 species